GAAGUCAAAGUGAUAACUCACUUGUAUGUCUAUGAACACAGCCCUACUAACUUUGCCUCUAGCGAUUUCCUCUUUGUUUAAAGCAUAGUAAGCAUAGCCUGUGUGGUGUGCUUAUAGCACACGGAGACAUCUAGCGCCUAAAUAUUAGACUGCAAAUCAGCUUCCGAAAUCUUGGAGAUCACAGUCAGAUCCAUUGCUUGCAAUGUUCCACCCCAGUACUGCAGGGUGCGGAGCAGUUUUACUGCAAACCAUCGCACCACUGAAUAGCAGCUGCCCGUGGAAGGCAGCACAGGCAGGGAGCCCAGUGGAAUGAGCAGCUGCACUAGCUCAGGAGGGGACUGUGACUGCAGCUCUGCUGCACAGCUUGAGCUUCAGGCCUGAAAGGUAUAGCAGUAAUUGACUCAAGUCAGAGAUUUGCCUGUAUAGGCACAAAACAGGUUGAGACAGUUCCUAACUUGCCUUUGUCACUAAACCACAGAGAGGAAAGCCUGUAGGUAUAUGAAUAAGACAAUCUCAUCUUGGUUUUACAGUGUGUCUCUACUUCUAUUCUCUCUUUGUUAGGCCAGGAGCACAAUCAUUCUAACACGUGUAAUUGUAAAACUUUGCCUCUUUUUAACAAACAUAUACAAACUGAAUACUUACGUUUGCCAAUUACUUUGGCUGAAAUUAAACUGAAGGUAAGCACUGCUUAUCUACUAGAAAGCUAUUAGUCCAAGAACAGAAAGUAUUUACUUUUUUUAUAUACUUGUCUAAAGAAAGAGUAAAUACAGACUGCUGACCAACAUUCUCAGCCAGAAGCCUGAGAAAAAGGUCAUUUCAGUGAUACUCAAGUGCAGAUGUUUUUGCCAGUACUACUGUAUGGGGGCAUAAAGUAAAACAUUUCUACGUACUUAAAUAGUCUGAAAGGAAAUAUAUUGCAUUAGGUAUUUGUGUAGGAGAAAAAAAAAAAAAGUAGGAGUGCACAUGUAUGUAUAUUUUAGACUUCCCAUAUAAUACAUUAUUUUCAGUCUCAGGCAGGUCACAAACACCUUUGAGCUAUAAAAGCACUAGAUCAUAAGACCAUAGAAAAAUUAAGGCUUGAAAAGACCUUUAAGAUCAUUAAGUCCAGCUGUCAACCCAGCACCCACAAGCAUGUUCACCAUUAAACCAUGUCCUCAAGCACCAUAUCCACAGGUUUUUUUUAACACUUCCAGGGAUAGUGACUGCAACAAGCUUUACAAACCUUUCUGUCAAAAAAGAAAAUCCAAAAACUGAAUCUAAAACUCCUCUGGUGCAAAUGAAGCUAUUUCCUCUCAUCCUGCCACUUGUUACCCAGGAGAAAAGACUGACACUCAUCUCACUAUGACCUCCUUUCAGGUUGCUGUAGAUCUCUUACAGAAUGGAAUCGUCAUCAAACAAAAAUAAUGUUUUUAAAUAAUGGAUACAUUUGAAUAAAACAAUUCCCAAAUGCCGUAAGUAUGCAAAAUGCUGGACUUUGAAAUUUCUUGAGUAUUUGAAAUCUCUCUAUCAAACUCAAAUGAUGCACUAAAGCCUUACUGCAUCUCCAUCCAGUAUCAACAUGCUGCUUUGGGUUUCAGCAGACAAAAUGUUGGUAAAGUGUAUAAACCAAAGUUUAAAAAUUACAAAAGAUGGACUUGAAAGAGAUAAUUGAUUAGACUAUGGUCUAAUGAUUUUAAAAUAAGCAAAGAAGGAAGCAGCUUUUGUCCUUCUGAAUAAAAAGAGGUACUAAGAGAGAGGAGGGAGCAAGUUAGGAAGCAACAGAUGCGAGUAAGUAAGUAUAGGCAGUUACCAGUUAAAAUUAUGUCCUAUUGUCUCAAUUCCAAUGCAGAUCCUUAGAAAAUAUUGUAGUUGGUCUAUUUAGAUAAGAGAGCAAAUGUACCUAUUUCUUGCCCUAUUUAAGCCUUUCUUGCAUAAAUCCCAGGUACUCUGUGGUAAUACCUUUUCCAUACAGUAGCCAUGUUUUAAAUUAUCAUAAAAACCCUACAGAUUUCUAAUUAACAUUCUGGAAGUUUAGAACUUGUGUCAAAAUAAAAGUUAAAUUAAUAAAAUAAUGCAAACAAUGCCUAGGCUGGGGGAAAGUUUGCUCUUGGUAAAAACUUGAUCUUUGACAUAUUGUGUUUCAACCAAAGGUAACAGCAGUUAAUAAAAUGUAACAACAGUUUGAGGGAGAAGAGGAGAGUACAAAAUGCAUACUGGGGGAAUGUAGAGGUAAUUUUUAACCAAAUUUAGUCGGGAGCAGAUUUAGUGCAUCAUCUUUCCCUGCUCACUGAAAAGCCAAUAAGUUUUGGGGUUUUUUUCUGCAUGUCAAGACAACCCAUAUGCAACUCAUUUACUUUUUGCAGGUUUACAAAACAGUGUGACCUAUUGCAGAGUUCUGGUAAAUCCUACCUGUCAUUCUCCUCUGCCACUUUGUAUGUUUCCAAAAUUUUGACAGUGGAGAAACUUGUCAGAAUUUUAAGAUUCUGGGUCAUAUAAAGAUGAAAAACUGUUGAAAACCAACAAAACCUGAUAUAUUUUUAGUGGCUUUUAGAUUUCCUCCUCAGUAAUCAAUUGCUGAUAGCAAAUCAGCAAAACUCUUAAAAAAAACUUGUGUUCAUGGAGUAUUAUAGGCUGCACUGAAGGGUGAAAGGAGAAUUAAUAUAUUGGGGUUUUAAAAGAAUAGUUGAAAAUAAGUAUAAAGAACAAAUAAGAAUGGGAGGAGGAAGCGGAUAUGCAUAGAUGGAACACAUGAAUGAGAGUGCAUAGCUGAGACAAAAGGAAAAAAGAAGAAAACAGCAAAAUCACAAAGCUGAUAUGAGUACAAGAAAGCUGUAUUUUGCCUUUUACACAUCUAAAGUGCAGUUUGAUGAAAGACAAAAUGCAACAAAGCCAUAUUGCAUCAAUUUUAAGUAUCAUCAGAAUAGAAGUCACAAUUCCCUACCAAAUCAAUUCAUCCAUUUACAUUAAGAAACACAGAUACUACUUUCCUGUUGUGUUUAGAUUUUAUUUCAACAUUAUUAAAAAACAUUUGAUUGUGAUUGUCUUUUUUAUUUAAAAAUGUUUUCCUUGGGAAAGCUUCUCACAUCAAGUGUCCACCUUCCAAGUCACUUCAAUAUUUAUUUUGAUGUGAAUUGGGUUGACAUUUACAUCAAUUUUACAAGCUAAGUGCAACAGUAAAUUUGCCUUGCAUUUAAGGUAAAUAUUGAUGGAAACUGAUUGGCAAAUGAGUGACCAGAAACAUAACCAUAAGGACUGCUGGUUCUAGUUGCUUAUUUGGUCAAUAAACAUAAACAAUAUGUAAACAAAAAUAAUAUGUAACAGUGUUUGCAAUAUGUAGUCAGAUCCAUGGGAGUUGAAUUUGGAGUGCUGUGCUCAUGAGAUGAGCACCUUUUAAGACCUGUCAGAAAGUUAUGAUUAUGAAUAAGGCAGACUAAAAAUUGUUAAGUGCACAAUUUCCGACAAAUUGCCUGCUAGACUUUGGUGGAGACUAUUUGAAAUAUCUAUGACCAUUUGCUUUUCAUCUCAUAUGCCUGGUGUAAUUGCUUUUAGAUUGUUCACACAAUGUUUCUAUGUGAUAAAUUUAAGGCCUCAAUUUUUUGUUUUGUUUUUAUCUUAACAGAGAAUGAUUUUGGUUAAAACCCUGUGAAUUUUACAAGAAGAGCAGAGCUUAAGGCACAGAUUUCUGAUUUGCAUCCACAUACUAGUAAGCCAGAAACAUGACAAAAUUGAGUUCCUUUAAUUUUUCAGAGAGACAGAGAGUCUGACUUCCACUGUAGAGAAAUGCAUUUUAACUGGUCUGCUCUUAUGGUUACUUAUUAUCUAUCUGACUGAAGAGAAAUAUAAAUAUUUUCACAAGGUGAAAUGCUCCGGAAUAUUACUUAUUUUGAAAGCAUUUAAACAUUUGGAAAACAAUAAAGUUGUAAUGCUCCUAAAUUAGUGCCAAAACCAGAUAUGGAAAGUUCUAAAACCCUGUAUUCACUAGUACCUCAUUUUGUCCCAGAAGAAACAUAUGUAGGUAGGAACAAUGUGUAUUUGAAAUUAUUAAAGUCAAACUGUAACAUUAGGACACUAAGAUAACAUUGUUUUCCAUGGCAUUAAAACCACAUAAAAACAGAGCUCUCCAUGAAACACAAGAAGAUACAUUUCUUACACAUGAUUAUUUGCUUAUGUAAAUCUUCUUACAAAGCUUUUGAACUUGUCUAUUCACAUUUACACCAUAGUACUCAAAAUGUCAUUCUUUUAUAAAAACUUCUGUGAAAUUCAACAGAAACACAAUUGACAAAUGUUUAAGUAAUAUUUUAGAAUAAGGCACUUAUGCUUACCUUGUUUUGUAACAAAGUAAUAACAUGCGUAUGUAAAAUCAGAGGGGAUUGUUUCCAGUAAAUUUUCAGUUUUCUGCCAACAGAGCGUGUCACCAAAUGACGGACUGAACCUUUUUCCUUUUUGGAAGCACAAAUACAAAUGUGAAUCACAGUUACAGGAAAAGUUAUCUGUUGGAUUACGUGCAUAGGAUAUCAUCCUGACCUUUUGGGGUUUUUUUAACAAAAAAGCCCCAGGAACUGAAGUGUCUAAUAUGAAUGACAGCCAAAUGCAAAAACAAUAAGUAUUUGUUUGCCCAAGAGAAAUGAAUACUUUGAUUUUCUGAGAUGCAUUUGCAAUCCUGAAGAACAUAGUCCUUAAACAAUUGGUUUAGGUUGAGAUAUUCAAUAAUCCUAAAAGUCAUUCUACUUUUAAAAAUCAGUUCUUUAAACAAGAGACUGAGGUGAAAGCACCAUGAUCAUUACUGGUUUUGCAGAUCUGUUUCUUUACAAAAAACAUAAAUUAACAUUAAAAUAGGACUCUACACUAAAGCAGAGAUUCAUCUAGCAAAGUACCUUCUUUCCAACAGCUGUUGACAAGACAUUACAAGAAUAUACUUUAAAAAGUUAAGUAAACAUACAUCAAAACUUGAUAGACUACUUCCCGUUCUUCAAGUGAUUUGAAGUUCAGUGUUACCAUUGAUAUGCUUCUUUUUACCAGCUUCUUUUAAAGAACCUGUUGCUUUCUGAACUAUGUAAGUUCCUAACAUCCAUGAUGUCCUGUGACAAGGAACUCUGUAGUAGCUACACGGGGCAUAUUAGUUACAAGAAGCGUAUCUUGUACCAAGAAAUAUCUCUUUCAGAGGUUCCACUUAUCCCAUAUGAUUCCCCAUAGUUCUUACGCUGAAAGUUAGUCCCUAUUCACCUUUUCCAUCCUUUUCACACUCCAUCAAGUUCUCUCAUGCCCAUCUCUUUUGAGAUAAUAAUAAAUGUAUUAACAGAACAUAUUUCUCUGUUCCUUUCAUGGAAACUCUUUCGCGUUUCAGCAUCUUUAUUUUCCUUUUGCCAAUUUUGGUGCCCAUUUUUUUAAAGAAGACAGAAGGAGAAUUCCAGUAUCCUCCAGAAUAUGGGUACCUUAGAUUAAAAAAAGUGCUUUCUUUUCAUCGUAUUUUCUCUCUAAAUCAUAUCUGAAUUCUUUUUGCUUUGUUGGUCACCAUUGAAUAUUGCAUUGAUGUUUCCUUAGUAGUAUUUCUGAACAUUAACUCUUUAGAGCCUGUAAUUGUGUACAUAAACUUCACUUUGGAUUUCCCAACAACCUGUAAGUACCAUAUGCUAUCACAAUCACAUCAGCAAGCUUUUAAGAAGAGCUGCAUUUCUGAUUGUUCAUGUUCUGCUCUCAACAGCAAGUUCCUGUUCUGUGUCAAUUGCAAACUAGGAGCCAUGCAAAAAUUAUAACCUUUGCCAUAUACCAGCCCUUUGAAAAAAAUAGGCCAUCAGUUCCCUAUUUUCUUCUCAAGUACUGUAAUUUGAUUUUAGGUAAGCAAUGAGAAAAAAAAAAAAAGACAGGAAAAAUACCUAUCAAAAUCUAUAAUGUGCUGAAGGCAAGACAACCUUCUCAGUGCAAGCUUGCCAUUCUUUUUACACAUAAGGCUACUCAGUCAGGGAAGUUCUUUUCUGCUGACUAUAAUUUUCCUUCAAGUUCUCUUGCUACCAAUCUUAGGUUUCUCUCUUGUUUUUUUGGUUCCACUCCCUUAGUUUUUUUGCUGUAGGAGCAUAUUUAUUAAGCCAUGCAGUUGUACAUGUUGAAUUGACAUUUUAUACUUAAGUCUUACUUCUGCAAAAUUCCAUGGAACAAGCUGCAUGGAAAAGUGAGGACAAAAAGAAAGAAGAAGACUACAGGUAGAAACAUUGUUCAUGUUUGUACAACUAACUCUAACAGGAAAGAUAUAACUUAGACAAUGAUUUUUCAACUGAAACUUCAAGCUGAGCACAGUGAAGAUAUAAUAUCUGUCCAAGCAAUUUUCUCCAUUCUGAGUUAGACAGAGCACAGACUUUAUAGAGAUUAAAAACUUAACUGAAGUCAGUUCCUGGGAAAAAACAAUGCCAGAGUUGGGGGAGGGUGUCUAGAACAAAAAUACCGCAACCAAGCCUCUAGGAACUCAGAGGUCUUGCUGGUUUUUUUGUAUAAUAGAGGCUGUCUAAAAGACAAUAUGGACAAUAUUCUCCAUAAAGCCUGAUGUUUCCCACCCUAUAUUUACACUUUUUACAAGCAUAAGGAAUUAUCAACGCUGCUGAGUAACACAGUGAUUCAAACUUUUCAUGGGUUCAGAAUAAAAUCCAUAUGAGGUCAAAACAAUGCAGCAGCUUUCAUCAGCCCCUGCUGCAAGGGUGGAUUUAUGCAAGCUUUGGUUUAAACUUCCACCUGUACGUGGACCAGAUUCAUACUGGACAGGCUGGUCAGAACAAAAAGCUGCAUGAGACUGUGAAAAUUUGUGUCUUCUCCUUGAAGCACUCAGCAAUUGGAUAUAAACUCUUAGACAUUUACAUUCUCUAACCAAAAAGACAAAGAGCAGGAUACAGUAAUUUCCCAAAUUUAUAGAUGCCUUAAGUCAAAUUUCUUACUAUGUAAAAAGGACUAUUAUAUGGUUAUAGAUUGUUAUUGUAUUUUAUUUGUUAUGUAAUUAACACUUUUUACAUUACUGUUUUAAAUCAUACACCCUUCAGGAGAUAAAAAUAAAAUGAUACCUGAGAGAAAAAGACCUGCAGAGGGAGGGACAGGAGGUGUUCCAGGUGCUGGAGCAGCGAUUCCUCUGUAGCCCUGGUGCAGUUCAUGGUGCCCCUGCAGCCCAUGGAGAUCCACAGGAGAGCAGAGAUCCACUUGUAGCUCCACCUGUAGCUCCGGAAGCUUCAGCCUGGAGCAGGGUGAUGCCUGAAGGAUGCUGUGAUCCUGUGGGAAGCCUGCACUGGAACAGAUUUGUGUCAGUCGAGGAGUGAUAGAGUGGCUGAAUGGACACUGGACAUCCAGCCAAGGUCAAGCCACCAGAAUUAGAUAUUAACUUAAUCUUUGUGGUGUGUCAUUUAAACAGAAAGACUUUAAAAGAGGCUUCCGUUCCUUUUGCUUUUUUUAAUAACCACUUACCUUUGCUCAGCUUCAUAAGUCUCUCACAUGAAACCAGGGAAAGAAGACAGAGAUCUUUGAGAGAUUUUUUGGAUCAGAGAAAUGUGACAAUAAAUUAUAAAUUUUCUGAAAGCCAGAGUAUGCAGAAAUCACAUUAAUUUUUUAAAUUUAUUCCACCAUGCAAGGUAUUGACUUCAUGUACAGAUAAUUAAUUAAAAUCAGACACAAAUGGACACAAAUAUCUUUGCAUGCUGUUAUUUAGGACCUCUUCUCAUAGAAUAUUUUUGAAUUUGACCCAUCUAGGUUGUGUAACAAAUACUCAUGAAACUGUUGCUAUAUACAUAUCUAAAGGAUAAUUCAGUAGUAAUGACUCUGCUUUUUUUAAAGUACAAAGCUUUAUUUGGUCUUCAGAGUUUAAACUUUGAUUUAUAUUCAUCUCUCAUCCCCCCAAAAAGGAAUCCUAUUUUUUCUGAUGUAUUUAUGAUCCAGUGUCUAAGCUUCUUGCAAUAUAUAUAUAUAUAUCUUGCAAGAAACAAAUAUAUUCAAAGAAUUUUAAUAUCUGUCUUGGAAUGCCUGGAGCUCUACAAUUAAGUUUCAAAAUAUGCAUAUCAACUUAAUAACAGAGAUUGCUGACUGGUAUAACAAAAGACAUGAGAUGUGAAUGGCUCUUGUAUGUCUCAUGUGUGCUAAACCUGAAACUAAAUAACCACAUUUUAAAGGGAAAUAUUAGUAAACACUUUAUUACUAAUUGGAAAAAUGAAUGUUAGUGUGGCUAAUAACUCCUCAGAACUAUUGGUUUGUGCCAUAUUCCAAUCCAAAUCUGGAGUGGAACACAUACUUCCUUGCUGACUGGAAUUGCUUGCCAGUUGAAUGGAAUUUCUUCCUCUCUUUUACUGAAUUUAAUUUUUAUGCUGGCAUCCAUGCUGUCCUUUUCACUAGCCAUAUUUUCAAAUGUUUCCUCAAUGAGGACAGCAGACAAUUACAACCUUUUUCUUUCUUUUUUUGUGAAUAAAAUUCCGACUUUUUCAUAUGUAGCUGACGACACCCAAAAUUUGACAGGAGGUCUGUAGUUUUCUUUGGACUAGUCUUGAGCUAGAACUCAAGUUAGACAAGUAUUUAAGAUCUGAAUAGAACUGUUAGGUGAAUGCAGAUUUCUUGGACAUGAACAUGGCUAUGGAAUAAGAGAGCACAGAAAAAGAUGGUUCCUAGACUUUACACAGGAACUAGAAGAAACAAAACUUUUAGCACAAUGGACUGGGUAAAUCUAAAGCAGCAGACUGCUACAUCUGAUCUCUGGCUGACACAAACAUAUUUCAUCUUUCUUUUUAAUCUCCUCUGAAAUACAAAUGGGUUAAACUCAGAAGGCAAAGCUGUGAUCUCCCAUGUUAUAUACAUCAAGGUACUGACUGGUUACAACCUUAUGCAACCUGUCCUUGACAGCCUCAAGACCCAUCUUGCAGAAUUUCAAAUUGGUCCUGCAAAGAACAGCACCAUAAAUCAAUGUGGAAACUCAAGCUUAUGUGGUGUUGACCGCUUUCAUGACACUUUCAUUAUUUUGAAGUUUAAUAACAUGUGCCUUACAGUCUCUAUACCCCCUUAUUAUCUUUAGAAUGCUAUGGUUACAUCAGAAUCUAAGCUUUCUUUUAAAAAUAAAGUACUUUAGCUUCUGUUUUGAAGUUGGAGUUUGGAAAUACAACUUUCGUGUCCACUGACAGUUCAAAACACAGGAGGUCAAUUAAAAGGACCAGGCUUGGGUUAGCUUGUGUUAUGGGAGACGCAUAGACUCAAGACUUUUUGUGGUCCAACAUAUGUUUUCAGUAUAUCAGACUGGGAUAUUAAAGAGUUUACUGUCCCUCCCUUUUUGAAAACACUCAUAAACUUCCGCUGUAAAACAGAUCUCAUACAAAACUUUAUAGAAUGCAUUCUAUUUACAACUAAAUCUAAAAACCAGCUCUGUAGGCCUCUUUUUCUUUCUGAAGUUUAUCUGAUUGAUAAUGAUCUAGGUCACAAUGCAGUAGGGUCUUCCUACAGCUCUGCCAAUAUUGUCUCACAAACAGUACUAUCAUUAAAUACUACUUAAAGGAUAGCAGAGGCCCAACAGGAUACAGAUCCUUUUAUGUUUUAAUGAACUUCAACCAGCACUCCAGCAGAUUAAAAGAAUGGUGGAUUUGUGUUUAUAAAGUGAGUUGAAAACAAAGUACAGGGGAACUGCCUGAUGCCACCAUAGGGAAGCAUACUGAAGACAAGCAAUCUUCUCAAUCCAAGUCAAUGCAAACUGGUGCCUGUUUUGUAACCAUUACUGUCUUUUCUAAUAUUCCCAGCAGAAAGGUCAGGCACAGGGAGAUUAAACACACCUUUUUGGGAUCUCUCCAUUCUGGUCCUUAAGCCACUGACAUAGCCACUGGUCAAUAGCACUGAUGGAUUCUUACAAGGAAACCUCCCCACCAACACUAGAAUCCAAUUACAUACUUGAAAUCUGUAGGUCUCCUUUGGCUGUAACUGGACUAGAAUCUUCUAAAGUCGUGGCCACUGCUUUCAGUAAGUUGUGCUUUUAUUUUUGGAAACCAUAAUUUUUUUCCUUGUAGCUGGUAAAUAUAAGACAAUAGAAUGUAGAAAAUCCAGGAUGAAUAACUAUUUUUGUCAAUUAUUUUGACUGGUCCUGACCAGCUAUUUCUGAACCCAUUUCUGUCAGUGCUGUAAAAUACUUAUGAAGAGCUGAGGCAGCUCUGCAUCUUGUGAUAAGGAGGCCACCUCUUCAUAUUACUCACCAAAGCCAUCAGAAAUGUAAGCAAUAUCUUUGGAGAGAGCUCAUCACAAAGCUUUAGACUUAGCAUUAGGGUCUAGUCCAGUGCGCUCCGAUCUGUGUGUGUGGCAGGGAAAUGUACAAUCCAGGAUGUGUGCCAGACAAUACACUGGAUUGAAGAUAUAUGGGUUCUAGCAUUAAAAAUUAAAAUAAAAUAAAAUAAAAUAAAAUAAAAUAAAAUAAAAUAAAAUAAAAUAAAAUAAAACAAAA